CUCAGUCGGUCAUGGCGGCAGAAGAGCGGCUGUCUCCCCUGCACUCGCCAUGUUUGUAGGCCUCAGAUUUCUAUCAGGCAAAUGUUGCUCCAAAUGGCUCUUAGUGGUAUCAAUUUGUGCUGCUGGAUGUCGCCUCUUGUUUGGUGACUGUCUCGUAUUGAUAAAUUGACAUUUGGGCAGUGAAAGUUCACUUUAUUCGCUGCUUGCAGCAGGAGCUGUUGAGGUUUGCUUCCUGUCAUCUCUGCAGUCAGGCCCCACCCCUGUUUUGUUGUAUUCUAAAACUUUUUUCACAUUUAACGCUUCCUAUUAGAUAUGUGCAUUUGUAUGUUUAAGAAUUACAAAUUUUGUCUUGGAAUUUUCCUGCACUUGAUCCGUCAGCCACUGUAGUGGCAUAAUGAAUUAUGCAAAGAACCCAUACGAUGAAAG